rnacentral:rRNA from 1 species
AUUGAACGCUGGCGGCAGGCCUAACACAUGCAAGUCGAACGGUAACAGGAAGCAGCUUGCUGCUUCGCUGACGAGUGGCGGACGGGUGAGUAAUGUCUGGGAAGCUGCCUGAUGGAGGGGGAUAACUACUGGAAACGGUAGCUAAUACCGCAUAAUGUCGCAAGACCAAAGAGGGGGACCUUCGGGCCUCUUGCCAUCGGAUGUGCCCAGAUGGGAUUAGCUUGUUGGUGGGGUAACGGCUCACCAAGGCGACGAUCCCUAGCUGGUCUGAGAUGAUGACCAGCCACACUGGAAUUGAGACACGGUCCAGACUCCUACGGGAGGCAGCAGUGGGGAAUAUUGCACAAUGGGCGCAAGCCUGAUGCAGCCAUGCCGCGUGUAUGAAGAAGGCCUUCGGGUUGUAAAGUACUUUCAGCGGGGAGGAAGGGAGUAAAGUUAAUACCUUUGCUCAUUGACGUUACCCGCAGAAGAAGCACCGGCUAACUCCGUG